GACGAACGCUGGCGGCGUGCUUAACACAUGCAAGUCGAACGGAAAGGCCCUGCUUUUGUGGGGUGCUCGAGUGGCGAACGGGUGAGUAACACGUGAGUAACCUGCCCUUGACUUUGGGAUAACUUCAGGAAACUGGGGCUAAUACCGGAUAGGAGCUCCUGCUGCAUGGUGGGGGUUGGAAAGUUUCGGCGGUUGGGGAUGGACUCGCGGCUUAUCAGCUUGUUGGUGGGGUAGUGGCUUACCAAGGCUUUGACGGGUAGCCGGCCUGAGAGGGGGACCGGCCACAUUGGGACUGAGAUACGGACCAGACUCCUACGGGAGGCAGCAGUGGGGAAUAUUGCACAAUGGGCGGAAGCCUGAUGCAGCAACGCCGGGGGCGGGAUGACGGCCUUCGGGUUGUAAACCGCUUUCGCCUGUGACGAAGCGUGAGUGACGGUAAUGGGUAAAGAAGCACCGGCUAACUACGUG
rnacentral:rRNA from 1 species